UACGUAGGGCGCAAGCGUUGUCCGGAAUUAUUGGGCGUAAAGAGCUCGUAGGCGGUCUGUUACGUCCGCUGUGAAAACCCAGGGCUUAACCCUGGGCUUGCAGUGGAUACGGGCAGACUAGAGGCAGGUAGGGGAGAAUGGAAUUCCCGGUGUAGCGGUGAAAUGCGCAGAUAUCGGGAGGAACACCGGUGGCGAAGGCGGUUCUCUGGGGCCUG
rnacentral:rRNA from 1 species